AGGAGGAAAGAGGAAGGAGGAAGGAAGGAAAGGAGAGGAGAGAAGAGGAAAGGAAAGGAAAGGGAAAAGGAAAAGAAAAGAAAAUUCUGGCUUUUUGCACUAAAAGUGCUUACCUGCCCUUCACAUAACACUAUCCAGAGAGGAAACCCUUCACUGUCAUGCCCAGAAAAGACUCCACCAUCAGAAUAGCUGAAGAUAAUGCAUUAAAAAUGAAGAUUCUUUGGUUCAAACACAGACC
rnacentral:lncRNA from 1 species